UACGGGGGGAGCAAGCGUUGUUCGGAUUUACUGGGCGUAAAGGGCGCGUAGGCGGCCACCGCAAGUCAGUUGUGAAAUCUCUGGGCUUAACCCAGAAAGGUCAACUGAUACUGCGGGGCUAGAGUGCAGAAGGGGCAACUGGAAUUCUCGGUGUAGCGGUGAAAUGCGUAGAUAUCGUGAGGAACACCAGAGGCGAAGGCGGCUACCUGGACAAUUGCUGACGCUCAGGCACGAAAGCGUGGGGAGCAAAAGGG
rnacentral:rRNA from 1 species